rnacentral:rRNA from 1 species
UACGUAGGGAGCAAGCGUUGUCCGGAAUCAUUGGGCGUAAAGCGCGCGUAGGCGGCCUCAUAAGUCCGUUGUGAAAGUCAAAGGCUCAACCUUUGAAAGCCGAUGGAUACUGUGAGGCUAGAGUCCGGAAGAGGCGAGUGGAAUUCCUGGUGUAGCGGUGGAAUGCGCAGAUAUCAGGAGGAACACCAAUAGCGAAGGCAGCUCGCUGGGACGGCACUGACGCUAAGGCGCGAAAGCGUGGGGAGCAAACAGG